rnacentral:tRNA from 1 species
AUUUAAGUAGUUUAUUUAAAAUAUUGAUUUGUGGAGUCAAAGAUGUAAAUUUUAUCUUAAAUA